AAGUCGUAACAAGGUCUCCGUUGGUGAACCAGCGGAGGGAUCAUUAAAAGAGUUGUAACAAACUCCCUAACCCUUUGUGAACCUCACUGUUCGUUUUGCUUUCGGCAGGCAGCCCCAGGGCGGGGCUUGCAGCCUGGGCUUCCCCAGGUGUCUGCCGCAGGGCCACUAUAAACUCUUACUGUACCAUGCUGUCUGAGUUAUCAAAAAACAAGUUAAAACUUUCAACAACGGAUCUCUUGGUUCUG
rnacentral:misc_RNA from 1 species